rnacentral:rRNA from 1 species
UACGUAGGGUGCAAGCGUUAAUCGGAAUUACUGGGCGUAAAGCGUGCGCAGGCGGUUCGCUAAGACAGAUGUGAAAUCCCCGGGCUUAACCUGGGAACUGCAUUUGUGACUGGCGGGCUAGAGUAUGGCAGAGGGGGUAGAAUUCCGACGUGUAGCAGUGAAAUGCGUAGAGAUGUGGAGGAAUACCGAUGGCGAAGGCAGCCCCCUGGCCAAUACUGACGCUCAUGCACGAAGCGUGGGAGC